UACAGGAGGUCUCAAGCGUUGUUCGGAUUCAUUGGGCGUAAAGGGUGUGUAGGUGGCGCGCUAAGUCGGGUGUGAAAUUUCGGAGCUUAACUCCGAAACUGCAUUCGAUACUGGCGUGCUUGAGGACUGGAGAGGAGACUGGAAUUCAUGGUGUAGCAGUGAAAUGCGUAGAGAUCAUGAGGAAGACCAGUGGCGAAGGCGGGUCUCUGGACAAGUUCCUGGACACUGAGACACGAAGGCCAGGGGAGCAAACGGG
rnacentral:rRNA from 1 species